UACGUAGGGGGCGAGCGUUGUUCGGAUUUACUGGGCGUAAAGGGCGCGUAGGCGGCGCGUAAAGUCGGACAUGAAAUCAUUGGGCUUAACCCGAUGGCUGUGCCCGAUACUCUCGUGCUUAGAGUGCGGGAGAGGCAAUCGGAAUUCUCGGUGUAGCGGUGAAAUGCGUAGAUAUCGAGAGGAACUCCGGUGACGAAGGGGGGUUGCUGGACCGACACUGACGCUGAGGCGCGAAAGCUAGGGGAGCAAACGGG
rnacentral:rRNA from 1 species